AAAAGCGAUUCAGCUUCAUCCGUCCAGCCUGGGUUAUCAACUAACAUAGAUAGAAAUAAAAUAAAAAAUAGAUUAAAUUUUUUUUAAAUACUUAUAUAUACUUAUAUAAAAUCUAGUUAGCAAAACUACAAAAGUAUAUCAAGGAUACUAAAAUAACAUUGGGAUCCAGUCGAUGUGUUGUGUGAAGCAAAGGUGCUGACUUCUAAUUGGUUGUUUUCUUUGGAAGGCGGGGCUUACUCUUCCAGAGUUGCCAUAUUUGGGCGUUCCUCUUUCUCCCUUCCAUUAUAACAGCAGUGUUCUAUCUCAGCUAUAGAGUCUCUGUUUUCUCCUAAAGCACACUGAGUACUGAAUGUAGCAUCUGUCUGUCUGUCUGUCAUGUUGUAGACAGCUGCAGAGAUGAUGCUACUACAGUCUGCCAGAUUCAUUGACUGUAAGAGGAACAAUCCCACCGCCGAGACUGGACUCGUGCCAUGCUGUGUUGGGUGGCACCCAUGUGCCCUCGUCUGCUGACUCCUACACUUCCAUUCUCCUGCAUCGGCCUCCUGAAGAAGACGAGCGGAUGAAAGAUUCAUGAAGGAGGUGAAUGUUGGGGCGCAACGAAACGAGUCGCAGCUCCAAACACUCGCCUCUCUUUCACCUGUGGCCCACCAGACGGCAGAACCGGUGUGUGUGAGCACAGACAGAAUAGCCCGGCUCUUCCCGUCUGCAGCUGUCCUCUGUAAAGCUGAGGAUCCAGCAGGUGUGUGUAACUCCUCAACAGGUCAUUCAUUUUCAGAUUUACUGACCUGAGCUUCAUUACCUGCUUAUUCCCGGGGUUUUUUGAUUCCUAUUGUUUCUAUGAAAGCAAUUAGACUACAAUAGUAUGUGUAAUUAAAGCAUAAUCAUGUAAUGUGAGGCCACGGCUUCACUCAGAGACAAUUAAAACACACAACACACGAAGAAAUCGCUCGCUGUUUCAGUUCAGGUGUAGAAAAAAGCACCUGUAGUGUUCAUUAAUGCACACAUUUGUGGUUUUCUGAUUCAUAUCAUGUCAAACUGGGUC